rnacentral:lncRNA from 1 species
ACACCCUCUAGUGCUUUAACUCUUAUUUCUAUUAGUUCAACCUUCAAAAACUCAAACUUAGAAUCUAGCACUCAACAUGGAUAUCACCAAGCCUUCAAUGAAUCAUACUACUUCCGACAUAGCCUACCAAUAUCGCGACUCCAAACGUACAUCUCUCUACUAUGAGAAUCAAGAUCAUAUAAAAAGGCUCAACACUAUCAAUCAAAACUCCUUAACUUGGCUAUUUAG